CUCCUCCAGACCCUGUGUCUGCAGUUAGCCAACAUCUAUAGCCUCAAAACAGAGAUAUCUGAGUCACUGUCAGAGUUAUCCAGUGAGCUGUGCUCAUUGUUGGGCCUGGUGACAGAAAACUGGCCCUUGACCCUGGUGCUGGAUGGUCUGGAUAAUCUGAUCCCAAGUUAAGGUCAGUGUCCUGUCCCUACCCGCCCUUAACCAUGAGGACAUUACAUCAGGACUGGUGUCAAG